AUUGAACGCUGGCGGCAGGCCUAACACAUGCAAGUCGAACGGUAACAGGAAGCAGCUUGCUGCUUCGCUGACGAGUGGCGGACGGGUGAGUAAUGUAUGGGGAUCUGCCCGAUAGAGGGGGAUAACCACUGGAAACGGUGGCUAAUACCGCAUAAUCUCUUAGGAGCAAAGCAGGGGAACUUCGGUCCUUGCGCUAUCGGAUGAACCCAUAUGGGAUUAGCUAGUAGGUGGGGUAAUGGCUCACCUAGGCGACGAUCCCUAGCUGGUCUGAGAGGAUGACCAGCCACACUGGAACUGAGACACGUCCAGACUCCUACGGGA
rnacentral:rRNA from 1 species